rnacentral:rRNA from 1 species
CCUACGGGCGGCAGCAGUGAGGAAUAUUGGUCAAUGGUCGGGAGACUGAACCAGCCAAGCCGCGUGAGGGAUGAAGGUACAGAGUAUCGUAAACCUCUUUUGUCAGGGAACAAAGGCGGGGACGUGUCCCCGGAUGAGUGUACCUGAAGAAAAGGCAUCGGCUAACUCCGUGCCAGCAGCCGCGGUAAUACGGAGGAUGCGAGCGUUAUCCGGAUUUAUUGGGUUUAAAGGGUGCGCAGGCGGUCUGUUAAGUCAGCGGUCAAAGCCCGGGGCUCAACCCCGGCCCGCCGUUGAAACUGGCAGUCGCGAGUUGGAGAGAAGUAUGCGGAAUGCGCGGUGUAGCGGUGAAAUGCAUAGAUAUCGCGCAGAACUCCGAUUGCGAAGGCAGCAUGCCGGCUCCACACUGACGCUGAGGCACGAAAGCGUGGGUAUCGAACAGGAUUAGAUAUCCUUGUAGUC